rnacentral:rRNA from 1 species
UACGAAGGGGGCUAGCGUUGUUCGGAAUUACUGGGCGUAAAGCGCACGUAGGCGGAUCGAUCAGUCAGGGGUGAAAUCCCAGGGCUCAACCCUGGAACUGCCUUUGAUACUGUCGAUCUGGAGUAUGGAAGAGGUGAGUGGAAUUCCGAGUGUAGAGGUGAAAAUUCGUAGAUAUUCGGAGGAACACCAGUGGCGAAGGCGGCUCACUGGUCCAUACUGACGCUGAGGUGCGAAAGCGUGGGGAGCAAACAGG